AAUAGAUACCCUGGUAGUCCACGCCGUAAACGAUGAGUGCUAGGUGUUGGAGGUAUCAUGCCCUCGGUGCCGAAGUAAACACAUUAAGCACUCCGCCUGGGGAGUACGGUCGCAAGACUGAAACUCAAAGGAAUUGACGGGGACCCGCACAAGCAGUGGAGUAUGUGGUUUAAUUCGAAGCAACGCGAAGAACCUUACCAGGUCUUGACAUCCCUCUGAAUACGUUAGAGAUAGCGUAGGCCUUCGGGACAGAGGAGACAGGUGGUGCAUGGUUGUCGUCAGCUCGUGUCGUGAGAUGUUGGGUUAAGUCCCGCAACGAGCGCAACCCUUGAGCCUAGUUGCCAGCACUUUGGGUGGGCACUCUAGACUGACUGCCGGUGACAAACCGGAGGAAGGCGGGGAUGACGUCAAAUCAUCAUGCCCCUUAUGACCUGGGCUACACACGUACUACAAUGGCCGGUACAAAGGGCAGCGAAGGAGCGAUCUGGAGCCAAUCCCAGCAAAGCCGGUCUCAGUUCGGAUUGC
rnacentral:rRNA from 1 species